rnacentral:lncRNA from 1 species
ACUGGAAUUUGUGUGUGUGUGUGUUUCAGAAACUGUGUGUGUGUGUGUGUGUGUGUGUGUGUGUGUGUGUUUUCAGCUUGAGAAAGAUGAAAUCACGUUUCCUUAAUGCUGGGAGUAAUAAUGCUUAAUGCUUAACUUUUCAUUGUUCUUUCAUGUUUCAAGCCCUACCAGGCCCAGGAAAACACUUCUUUCCGUUUCCUGUAGCCUUCCUGCGUAUCAUGCAUUAUAUUUGAAAGUGCUUUCCUCUACUUUCCUCAUUUUAUCUCAAUAAUCUCUGCUAAAACCAGAUAACUUUCACCCUCCCGGUUCAGCAUUUGCUCUUUUCCCUCCUACACAAGCUGAUUAGAAUUUGCAAAGAGAGAGGAAGAAGAAAGGUUCUAUUUUGUUUCAUGAUUGUUGCUAGAAAACGGCAAGACCUCGGGAGAGAGACCAGCAUAUUAUUUCCCAGUGGAUGUCAGAGCUAGCAAAGUUUUUUUUUUUUCUUUAAAUUUUAUUCCCUAGCAGGUCAAAAACUAGUAUGUUUGCAAGAACAAUUUCUAGUUUGCUCAUAAAACUAUUGUUAUUAGCCACUCUAAGGUUGGCAUACUUUUAAAAGUUCAAACAAGUUCCUUCUAGAAUAGGGUUCUUUUAAACAUUAACAUUUAAAAAGAAGUAAUUUUUUUCAUAAAUAAUUUAGAUUUAACUCUUUACCUCUAUAGUAUAUCUGCCUUACUUCGUUAAUGUGUCCCCUGAUUUACUGCCUAUGUCAAAGCACUUUUAAAAUAAUGUCAAUUUUCUUGUUCUCCCAGUUCAUUUUUCUGAGGACCAAUGGUGAUAAGUGUUGGUCUGCCUAUCUUCCCAGAAUAAUCCAAGAUUUGGGGAAAGAAAGAGUAUUUUGCUAAUUUCAGUUUUCUUUCACAUUAAAAAGUUCAACGUAUCUAGAACGGAACAAAACGGAGAAAGCAAAGAAUAAAGCAAAGAAACAUAUAUUGGGGAAAGGAUACUGUAUUCAGUAAAUUGUGCUGGAAAAAGUGGUAAGCCACAUGUAGAAGAAUGAAACUGGAUCCCCAGCUCUCACCUAAUACAAAAAUCGACUCAAGAUGCAUCAAAGACUUAAAUAUAAAACCUGAAACCUUGAAAAUUCUAGAAGAUAACACCAGAAAAACUCUUCUAAAUGUUGGCUUACGCAAAGAAUUCAUGACUAAGACACCAAAAGAAAAUGCAACAAAAACAAAAAUAAAUAAAUGGGACUCAAUUAAACUGAAAAGAUUUUGCACACCAAAUAAAUAAUCAGAAGAAUAAACAGAAAACCCACAGAAUGGAAGAAAAUAUUCACCAACUAUGCAUCUGACAAAGGACUAGUAUCCAGAAUUUACAAGGAACUCAAACAAAUAAAUGAAUUCAAAUAUCCCAUUAAAAAGUGUGCAAAGGACAUGAAUAGACAAUUGUCAAAAGAAGAUAUACAAACAGCCAAUAAACAUAAAAAAAAAUACAGCAUCGCUAGUCACCAGGGAAAUGCAAAUUAAAACCACAGUGAGAUUCCACCUUACUCCCGCAAGAAUGUCCACAAUUAAAAAGUCAGAAAACAAUAGAUGUUGGCAUGGAUUUGGUGAAAAUCACAUCAGUGAAUACAGAUUUGGGAAGAAAUGUGCAUAACUGGUUUCAGCUAGCCAACACGCUGGUCCCAGUAUACCACUGGCUACGGCAUUCUAAAAGUGUCCUCAUAUGUAUCUAUUAAAUAUUCAAGAACUUUGACCAAUAUAUUCUCUGCCAAAUGCUCUCAAGAAAUCUUGGUGGAGAUGGUGUCGGGGUAAGGUGGGGGUUUUUCCGAAAUGGAAUCAUGUUAAUGUGGACUUAAUGUUAAAAUAUGAAUUUUCAAAAAAAUUUGCUUUACUUUCAGUAGGCUAAAUACCUACAUAGUAAAAUUUAAAAAAAUCUGUAAUUCUCUCUUAAUUUAUUCAUUAUACUAUUAUAUGUGGUAGGCAUUUUUUUCCUGGCUCUCAUAUCAUUUGUGUUUGUUUUAUACUAAUGAAAUACAGAAAAACUCUGUAGUAUAUAGAGCCCAAUGGAACUUUUAAGAGUGAGAAUUUUAAUUUGUAUAUUAUGGAAAAGUCAUCUCAGAAAUAUUAGUUUAUAAAUAUGCAGAUACAAUUUCUAGAAUGUCAAAAAAUAAUCCUUUCACCUGAGUUGUCUUAAGUAAAUAACUUUUAGGAUUUUUAAUUGGAUUAUUUAUGUAAUCAUUAUAAAGGAGAUCUGAGGUAAAUUGCUUAAGCAUUUUCUUUAGCUUUUUGCAAGACUAAAAAUGGAGAAUAAAUAUUUGCUCAAAUAUCGAGUCAAACUAAUUUUGAAGAGAAAUCUCUAAAUACUUUAUUAAAUGACCAAAAUAUAAGAAAAUGUUUAAAAAGACUGCAAAUAGAAACACAUCAGUUUAAAGCACACAAAGAGAUAAGUGGAAAAAGUAUUUUCUCAGAACAUGCUAAAAAAAACUUAGAAUAUCCAGGAUACUGCAUUUAUUCAUCCUUACAACAUGAAUUUUAAAUAUCUUAGCGACUGUGCUAUCAUUUUCAGUGUUCUGUAUGAAUUCUUACCUUCUCAGAAGAUUAUGUAGAUAUAACAGAUACUUCUGGAAUAUAUAUCCAUGAUAAGAUUUGUCUUUUUACAGGAGAAAAGAAAAUAUAUCAAGUCCAACAGAACUUAAGAAAAUACAAUUUAAUUAACUUUAUAUGAUAUAGGCCUUGUUAAUAUUAUAUAUCAAAAAAGAAUUCUAGUUUAUAUUCUUUUGUCUGUAAGAUGGGGGAGCUGUUGCAUUAUAAAAAAUACUGGUCAGUUCCAUUCCUCUAAGCAUUUUCUUUUGAUUAAAAUCAUUUGUAGUAAAAAUGAUGACCCAAACCUUUGUAAAUGAUAUUUUAGCUGGGUUAUAAUCUAAUGAAAUUGUGAUUUUAAAAGUGCUUCAAUUACUACAACUAUAAAAUCUUGGUUUACUAGGAAUAUGUAUAAGGUGAAGUAUCCAUUAUUUCUUUAACAUCAGUAUAUAUUGUUUAACAUUCUGCUUUUGGGCUAAGACUUCCUAGGCUUUACAGAAGAGAAGUUGUUUAUCUGAACAGUGUAAAAAUAUGUGUGUGUGUGUGUGUGUGUGUGUGUGUGUAUGUGUAUAAAAAUAUAUGUUCUGUUGUUAUUUAGUUAUGUCUUCCCUGAAAACACUGAUAGAUCCAACAAGUCUCUUGAUUCCUCUUAAAGAUAAGCAAGAAGAAGAAUAAAGUAUGUCACACUUAAACUUGAGUAAAUCCAAGUUGGAAAAACAGAAGCAGAUUUUUUUUUAAUCCUACAGGAUGAAUGUUGAGAGAGACAAAAAUAUUAACACCACAUAAAUUAUAACCUAGAGAAAUUCUAAACCAGGUUGAAAACCUACGCAUAAGCAGUCAAUAAUUAUCUUACACUUAUGCAAUACAAUUUUUUAUUACAGAAAGAACUUUAGUAAUUACCUCAUGCUGUAUAUAUGGGAAAGGAGAUAAGGAAGAAAAACUCUUUAUAGUAUGCAAUUAGUUAUCUCCUGCCUUAUCUUGGUAUUUGUAGAAACACUUGGAAGUAGGAAAAGUGAACAUUUGUAUCCCUGUUCUAUAGUUUAAAAAAUUGACACACAUAAGUUAUUUUUAAUUUAUCCAGUUAAUCACCAGUAAUCAUGAUGCUUUAUGAAUGACAAUUCUUUUAUAUUUAUUCAAAAAUAUGGGGAAAAUAAAUGACAUCUGCCUAUAUAACUUAAAAUUCUUGAAGAAAAUGUGUAUAGGAAUAACUUGGUAUGAAAUGUUAUAGAAAUGUUAGUUCUUUGUCUCUUAUAGUUACAGUAAGUGGCUAAUCAUCAUGUCUACGUUUAUGUAUAAUUUAUUUACAUUUUAAAAUGUUCUAACCUUGAAUACAUAGGGAACAAAUAUCUGAUGAUAGGUGUUUGCAAGGCAGCAUCAGUGAUUUUUCUUGAUAUUUUAUCUGAAAUAUCUGAGUAUCUACUAGGAAUCUAACAUGGAAAGGUAAUUACAUAUGAUGUUGGAAGCAAAUUUGUAUACACCCUAUUUAUGGCCAAGCAAAACAGUGUAAUGUGUCUGAGCAUGUAUGUGUUCCUUUCACCAGUUUUCUUGUGGUAGAAUUUAUAAAACUGCAUAUAUUCACAAUGUACAAUGUGAUGGUUUGACGUAUAUAUACAUUGUGAAAUAAUUACCACAAUCAAGUCAAUGAACACAUUCAUCACCUCAGCGUUUUCUAAAAUUACAUUUAUCAAACUGUAUUUGAAAGUAAAUGUGUUUUCUCAUUGUUAACCACGACUUUAAAACUUUAUUACAGAUUAAUGUUAAGAAAGCUACUGAAAUUAAUUUUAGUAAUAAAACAUCUGAAUAUACACCAUGAAAUGUAUAAAUGUAUGUGCUGAUUUUAGGAGUACAACUAAAUAAGUAAUGCAAACUUACUUGCAGGAUCAUCACUUUAACUCUGUCUCUCUCUCUCUCUCUCUCUUUAUAUAUAUGUCUCUCUCAUAUAUAUGAUAUAUCUUAUACAUCUAACUAUAUAUAUGUAGAGGAAGAAAGAGACACUAUAGAGUAAUACAACCUUUCCAUUAACUGCAUAUAAAGUCAGCCUUAUAAUAAUGCCCCUGGAUUAUCUGACCCUUUAAUAAAAUGUUAUACAUAUUUAGAGACUUGGAUUGUGCCUGUUUUUACUAACAGUUGUUAUUUAAAAUAUUAUUAGUAAGUUAAUUCAUAUAAACCAUGCAGAGAAGCUGUAUAACUGUGCAUAUAAAUAGUGAAGAGAAACUGAUCUGGCAUUCAGGGAUGUUGAGAUUAUUCCAACUCCGCUGCCAAUUGGCUGUGUGUCUUUGGAGAGGUCACAUAAUAUCUCCGAGCUAUAGUUUCCUUAUCAGUAACAUAGACUAGAUGAUUUUUAAAAUUUCACUCAGCACAUAAUUUGAUCUCUAACUUAAAAGAGCUGGAAUAAAAAUCACCACUAAAAAUUAUUAGCGUUACUAUGGUUGUACUUUGUUUUUAUACAUUACAGGCAUUAAAAACUACCUAGAGUUAAUUAGUAUUCGACAAAAUUAUUUCUUACAAAUCUUACGCUAUUCUGUAACGCAUGGGUCUAAUAUGUAUUUAAUGUAGCUUUCGUACAACUGCAAAAACUUCAAAGCAUAUCUGAACUUGUGGGUUUUGUAAGACUUGAACGCUAUAAAUGAAAGUAAUGGAAAUUUUAUUAUAUUCUAUUAUCGAUUGUGUGAUUAGAGUUGUUGAGUGGUAACUCAGUGUCUCAUGUGUGUGAAAGAGAGAGAAAUGAUGACAGUUGUAAAAGCCUAAGAUACACAAGACAGAAUAGUGGUUAGGAUCAUAAGCUUGGAAAUUAGAACCGAUAUUUUACUUCCAGUGUCUGCCACAUCUCAGUGGUAUGACUUUGGGAAAGUAGUUUAAUUUCUCUGAGUUACUUCAUCUGUAGUAUGCAGAUUACAAUAGCCACCGCACAGUGGGUAUAAAGAUGAGUAAGGUUAUAUUUUUGAACACGUAGAAGAGUAUCUGACAUACAAUAAGUGUGUACCGUUAAAGUAUACUUAAACAAAAUUUAAUAUUAAUAAAAGCUAUAUAUAGGUA